UACGUAGGGGGCGAGCGUUGUCCGGAUUUAUUGGGCGUAAAGAGCUCGUAGGCGGUUUGGUAAGUUGGAUGUGAAAUCUCCAGGCUCAACUUGGAGGGGUCAUUCGAUACUGCCAUGACUAGAGUUCGGUAGGGGAGUGUGGAAUUCCUGGUGGAGCGGUGAAAUGCGCAGAUAUCAGGAGGAACACCGGUGGCGAAGGCGACCACCUGGACUGAUACUGACACUGAGGUGCGAAAGCGUGGGGAGCAAACAGG
rnacentral:rRNA from 1 species